UAUUUGUUACCCUUGAGUAUACUUCCACUAAUGUUUGUUGCAUAUAUAUACUUAUGUGAUCCCGUAAUGCUAUUGUAGGGGGAAAAUACUUCCUCCAAACGAGAGAAGGAAUACGUUAUUCCACACGGGUCCUAUCCUGCUGGCUAAUAGUAGCUUCAGAUUUCCUCUUUUGAAUGGCUGCCACCUGCCGGUAUGGAGAGUUAUCUCGUCUCACACAGGCUCAGAACGUAUUUCUUUGCAGUCCAACAUGCCGGCACAGCGGUCAGACAGCGACGCUCUGUGGCAGGAGAAGCAUCUCGAUCAGGGGCGGCUGGAACCACUCAGACCUGAGUGCGUCAGCUGGAUCACCUGACCGAGCUGCUGCCUUCGAUCCAGUGGAGAGCUGAUCUGGCCUGUAGAUGGUGGGGUCCUCCACUUCGUCCUCGAUACCCUCGUCCACCUCCUCGAGCUCCUCACUCGUCCAGAGUGUCAGGGUCCAAGCUGGCAUCCUCAAGUGCUCUCCCAGUCUGCUGGUACAGGAUGGACCCGAGGGUGGACGUUAUCCUGGCUUUGAGCUCCUCCAGUCGCGACAGCACGUCAAAGCUAUACACAGUCAGCAGCCAGAGCGGCUGUGGUACAGGGGGCAUCGGGGGUGGUGGUGCAAACUGCCCCUUCACAGAGCACAAAGCCAGGAACUCUCGCCCACGCCGAGGUACUGGAUCGCUCUCCGCAUCCAGGCCUCAGAAUGCUGCUCCCGCAGGGUGUUGUUCAGUCGGUUGGCACUAUUGCCAAGAAUGAGGGGCCUCAGCAGUACAACCACCCUCUGUUCACAGGACAGCCUUCAACAACAAAACACAACCUGAUCAGCACGGAAACACAUCAAAGGUUAAGUUGCAUCGUGUUUGUAAUUCUUGUCUCUUACUUGUACGUGAGUACAGCUGGGAACUAUCAGCUGUACGUCGGUGGCAGCUGCCUUAUGAUGCCCUGUGACCACCCUCCGACCUUCUUCUUACACCGACGCCACUCCAGGUACUCAGUGGCCAUGAGGUACCAGCUGUCGGCCCUCCUGAAUCUGGGACGUUCCAUCUAAAACAGAGGUCAGGGAAUAUGAUCAAUGCGGAAAUAUGAUGCACUUUGGCUGGUUAGCACAACACAAUGACGUGAUACAUAUGCGUGGAUUUUUAUCAUUUAAAAUGCGAAAUUGACAUUUCAAAGACUAACACUACAACGUUAGCUUAGCAUCGUCAAAUAAACAUUUCGGGGAGUGGAGUAAAAAAAAAACAUAAGUGUUUAUGUAGGAAACCUAGUGUCAACCAGAAAUACGGGGUUUAAACUGUUUUGCACGUUUUUUUUCAUUGGAUAACAACGUAUACAGUACUCACCAAAUAAACUGCUCUGCAAGGUCACCGCAACUGACAGCAGAGGGUGUUGGAGAAAUUUUGGAACAAAUCUGGCUCUCGGAUUGGACAAAAGAAGUACGCAAGGAUGACGCGCAAAUUUGUGAAGAGUUGCUCAUUUUGUUUCGUUUUUUAAACAUAUUCUAUUCAGAAAUAAUCUCCCAGACAUGCACAGUAGCUGGCAUGAAGGUUUAUCCAGUGAAACAGCGCCCCCUGCUGUCCGAUUACUGCCACUGGAAAACCACAUCAUGCUACUACACUGCUAUUUUCACAAAGUGCAGAUUUGGAACAUUUUAUUUGUCUCCAGGAGUCAAUUUAAGGCUACUUAAAAUGAGCAGCGUGACAUACAAGUAGAAGACACAAAACAAAAAAUAGAACAAUAAAUUGGUUAAUACUAAAUGUAUUAACCAAACUGUCGAUGGAGGAAGUAAACAUGAUUCUUGCAUUUGCAUUUGUUGAUGACUCAUAAGUACCAAUGCUGUUUGUUUUCUUACACAAGCUCUUAUCUGUUGUUUAAAAACUCAAUUAAACUGCUGCUGUUUACACCAAACCACGAAAAACUACUUUUUCUAGACCAAAAAUUCACAGGAGAAAUUGAUGAGGGAAUCGAUAAAGAAUUGGAUGGAUAAGCAGAAUUGAUAGUUGCUUUGGUAUCUAUACCGCGGUGGUAUUGAUGGGGUUUGUUGCUGUCUUUUGAUGUAAGGCCCAUAACGCAGAUAGCAUGGCUGACUAUGACUGUGAUGGGAAACUGAGGAGGAGGAUUGUCAACUAUUGUUGGCUUAUUUGAAUACCAUGAUGGCUCCUUGAAACACUGUAAUUGCCAUGUAAUUUGUAUUUCACAUAGGACAAUAGUACAGGUCAGUAAUGUUCAUGCGCAGCACUUGCAGAUAUUGGAUAUGUCAGGCUGGGCUCAAAGCAGGACUCAGGUGAAGAUGGGUGGCAGUUAAGGUGACUUUAUUUCACAGAAUCAACAGGGGUGAGGAUACUCGAACAGAGUGUAAAAUAAAAGUGCUAUGAAACAAGCUCCUGACGUGGCUAUGAAAUCUUAUCAAAGUAAAAUCACUCCAGAGGAGGAAAACAAAGCUAUGGCUAUGAAAGUUAACAAACAAAAGGCGCCCCAAAAGGGAGGAAGCAAAACCUGGUAAGGAAAACCAGGAAAACAAGGAAUAACUCCAAAAAAAACAGGAGGAAAAGCAAAGAAGGACUAAACAAAAAAUCAAUCCAGAAGGAGGAAACAAAUUCAGCAAAAUCGAAACAGAAACCCUAAUCACUAGAACUAAGCUAGGAAGUUACAAAGAAAAAUCACUCUUUCGAAGAAACUCAAGGCAGCAAGGUAUCGCAGGCACGGGUAGAAAUGAUAAAAAUGACGAACACACUGGCACAAGACAAGGGCGACACAGACUACUUAAACACAUGGAGGGAAGGGAGCACCAGGUGGACACAAUCAGGGAAGACAAUCAGACCGGUGACACAUGAGGAAGGGCAAGUGACCUGAAACGAGAGGAGAGUUACUUUCCAAAAUAAGGCAGGAAACGACGAGACAAACACAACAAAAUAAGACAUGACCACACCGCGGUGUGACAGGAUAUAUCAGAGUUUAUCAGAAUGUAUAACAAAAAGAAAGUAUGAAACAUAAGUAUAAUCUUCUUUUGGAAACUGCCAGAACGACAUGUUGUAUUUUUCUGUACCCCAUAAAGAAGCUAUCAACAGGCCUACUCCUCGUGCCAGUGAUGCUCAGCCCACAGUAAAAAAGUUUGAUGUUUGCUGAAAGCUUGACUCUGGUAAACUGUCAGCUUGAUGUGCCACUGCCUGUUGUGGGCUGCUGUGUGUCUCCAUUCUGGUGAAACGAUGGUGAGUGAAGCGUCUGAGCGUAGUUUAGCUUCUCACUGGUCUCCCUGGUUAGUUAGGGAGUGAGCCAGCUGGACUGAGUAUCUCAUCCUUCCAUCGGCUCACUCAUUUGUUAUUUUGCCUUUUUUGUUUUUGGAGUAAUCCUGGGUGGAGACUUGUUUCUCUGGUGGGGGUAAGCAUGUCAGGGCCUCAGCCACGUAGUUGAGAUUUACUGACGUUCAGCUUUUAAAGUCGCCCCGAGCCCGGCACGCUCCAGAAGAUAUUUAGGUUUUAGUGAAUGUUAGGUAGGUACCAGGGAGAUGGCUCUUUGUCAUGGGGUAGGCACUCAGAGGCUGAUACAAUGUGAUAGUUUAUUGUGAGUCAACUAACCACUGUGAUGUAGUAUGAGAUUGGCGCUUUUGAAGACCAUGUGACACAAAGAGUCUUUGGCAUUCAAACUUCUUUUGAUACCUUGUCCAAUUGUAAACCAUUCUAGAUAGGACACUUCAUCAAUAUGUCUGCAGCAUACACUUAAACACUUAGCCUGUUUAAGGUUGUGCAUCACCUGCACUGGUCUAAAGUAAAACUAACCAAAUGUAAUCCUAGGAAACUGUUCUUAAUUUCUUGCCUGGGUUAAAAAAAUAAAGUUUAAAUAAAAUAAUUAAAAACAAAAACGUGGACCCUUUGUGUAAUCGAUAUGGGCAAGCACCAGUCACACAUUCACACAUGGUCUGAUUUUGCUCAAAGCUAGAUCCCUUUCUUGCAGUCUAUAUUUAAAACUUUAUCAGGUGUCUUGAAAGUAGCCAUGCAGCCCUCAGCUUUAACAAUAAUAUUUAG